AUAGGACUUCUAGUAGUUACUGGAAGGGUCCAGACUUCAAGACCUUUCUUGCUUUCUCAUGCUGAAAUCUUGAGGAAGCCGGGAUAGUAGUGUGACAUGUGGUCAGAGCUAUGAGAAAGUAACUAACACAGACAGUAUCUUUGUCUGCAGUUCCUAGCGGGGUAGCCUAUCAUUCAGGAGACAGCUUCUAGAUGAUACUGAAUCCCAAGAGAGGGGCCUGGCAGAUGAAUGACAUCAGCCAAGGCAACCUGAAGGGCCUCGUGCCACACAACGAUAAAAGUCUACUGCUGUCUCUGCUCUACAAGGGCUACUUCCUCCAGGACUGCCACCUGUUUGAUCAGAUACCGUGUCACUGGUGUUGGCUGAAGGAUCAUCACCGUCGUGGAGGAUCUCUGCGGCUUCAUACUCAAGUACUUCUGAUGGCGUCAAAGGUUCCAAACGAACACUGCCUUGGUCACUAGCAUCAGAAUUCACAGAUUUAGGUUCAUCUCCUUGCCUCAGAAAUUGAUCAAUGCUAACAUCCCCUGAUGUUAACUGCAAAUCCUGUUGAGUCUCUGAAGACAGUUCAGCUUCAGUGGGAUUGUGCUCUUUGCUCUGGUCACAUGGAUUUGUGCUUUCUGAACUCUGGUCCACCUUCAGCUCCAUUUCCUGACAAGCAUGAUGUGUUUGUUCUUCCUUUUCCAUAGUAUCUGUUCCAACAUCUGGAUCCUGACUCAAGAUGUUCUUUGAGCUGCUUACAUUUUCUGUAUCUGAAACUGUUACAUCUUUUUCACAGUCUGUUGCUGCUGCAGCUUCACAUACACUUGCAUCACACCCAGUGCCUUCUUCUGAUGAAGGAACUUUAUCCUGCUUACUGAAAAAUAAAGCUGCUUAUUAGCCGUUCAUAAAACGAUGUAACCGCAAUAAAGGCAUACUCAGAUGUAAAACAUGUUAAAGAGACUUUACUACCCAAAGAUAGGUCCCUAAGCCCUGGCUAUUCUCUUAGAAGUUGGGAGAAGGCUAAGGCAAAACUCGUAAGAAAUGCUGGAGCCACAAAUAAAAAGGAACCUG
ensembl:antisense